AGUAUGGCCUGGAUCACUGCCCUCCUCAUGGCCAGUCACUUGUGUUUUUGUGUGGUAGAGCUUUAAGCCUCAACAGCUGUCUGCUCUGCUGGAAGCUAUUCACUGCAAAACCUUACUGCAAUUUCUCUUCUCAUGGAAUCAGCAAAUGUUGAGUCCUGCACAUUGCUUACAUCACUAUUUGGAGUACAGACCAGUCACAACAUCCCCUGGAAGAGAUCAAAGGUCAUCAAAAAGGAGUCAGUGGAUGAUGGAGAAAGAACACAGAGGACAUUUAGAUCUGACUCCAGGGAUCUUCCUUGAACAGACAGGUUUCUAAAGGGCUGUUGUGAAGCUCAAUGUGGGAGCUUUCUGCCAUAGCCAUCUUGGCAGUGACGACUCCGCCUAACUUCUAGCUAAUCUCUACAGACCUACAGUUCCUCCUGUGAAGUUACAAGGAUAAAUUGAUGAUUAUAAGUUCUGAAAUGAAUACGAGAAUUAGAACAACUAAGUUGACAUUACUUUAAUCAAGCCAGGAAUGUAUGAUAAAAGUUGAAUUGAAAUUGAAAGUUGGAGAGUUUACAGUGUGGUGGGAAAUGGGUGUCAACACUGAUUGGAAAUGAAAAGCUGCACAAAGACAGGAUCUACAGGGCUCUUGUACUAAAUUGCUCUUCACUGUAAAGAUGUUUCUAUUUUUCAGCUCACUGAAUGUAUAUGAUGUAAUAAACCAAAUGACAGUUAUCAGUUAAAUACACGCAUUCUACAGAUAAAAAAACAUGUAAAUAAAAAUGCAGAUGAACCAGAUUGUAUCUUUGUCUUUUUUCU